rnacentral:rRNA from 1 species
UACAGAGGUGGCAAGCGUUGUUCGGAAUUACUGGGCGUAAAGGGCGCGUAGGCGGUCCCGUCAGUCCCUUGUGAAAUCCCCCGGCUCAACUGGGGAACUGCAAGGGAUACAGCGGGGCUUGAGUUCGGGAGAGGGAAGCGGAAUUCCGGGUGUAGCGGUGAAAUGCGUAGAUAUCGAGAGGAACACCUGCGGCGAAGGCGGGUUGCUGGGCUGACACUGACGCUGAGGCGCGAAAGCUAGGGGAGCGAACGGG